UACGUAGGGUGCAAGCGUUAAUCGGAAUUACUGGGCGUAAAGCGUGCGCAGGCGGUUGUGCAAGACAGAUGUGAAAAUCCCCCGGGCUCAACCUGGGAACUGCAUUUGUGACUGCACGGCUGGAGUGCGGCAGAGGGGGAUGGAAUUCCGCGUGUAGCAGUGAAAUGCGUAGAUAUGCGGAGGAACACCGAUGGCGAAGGCAAUCCCCUGGGCCUGCACUGACGCUCAUGCACGAAAGCGUGGG
rnacentral:rRNA from 1 species